CUGCUCAAUGAAUAUAAAUAUUCAUUUAUAUUAUUUAAAUAGCCGCAAUUCUGUGCUAAGGUAGCAUAAUCAUUUGCUUUUUAAUUAAAAGCUAGAAUGAAAGGUUAAACAUUUAAAUUUCUUUAUUAAAACCAAAUUUAUAAUUUAUACUAAAUAUAAAAAUAUAUUUUUUUAAAAAAAAGACGACAAGACCCUAUUAAACUUAACUUAAUGUUUAACUGGGGCAGUUAAUUAAUAAAAAUUUUAAAUUAUAAUAUAUAAAUAAAUUUCUAAUAAUAUUAAAUUUAACAAGUUACUAUAGGGAUAACAGCGUUAUAUUUUUUAAAAGUUCAUAUUUAAAAAAAUGAUUGCGACCUCGAUGUUGAAUUAUAUUUCUUUAUUAACGCAAUAGUUAUACA
rnacentral:rRNA from 1 species